CGGGAUACCCGAGGGAAACUUCGGUUAAUACGGUAUAAGACCACACUACCGCAUGGUAGAGGGGUAAAAGGGGCAACCUGGUAUGAGAUGGACUCGCGUCGCAUUAGCUAGUUGGUGAGGUAACGGCCCACCAAGGCGACGAUGCGUAGCCGACCUGAGAGGGUGAUCGGCCACAUUGGGACUGAGAUACGGCCCAGACUCCUACGGGAGGCAGCAGUGGGGAAUAUUGGGCAAUGGAGGAAACUCUGACCCAGCAAUGCCGCGUGAAUGAAGAAGGUCUUCGGAUUGUAAAGUUCUUUAGUCAGGGAAGAAGUCAAUGACGGUACCUGAAGAAUAAGCUCCGGCUAACUACGUGCCAGCAGCCGCGGUAAUACGUAGGGAGCAAGCGUUGUUCAGAAUGACUGGGCGUAAAGGGUGCGUAGGCGGUUGUACAAGUUAGAAGUGAAAUACCCAGGGCUUAACUCGGGUGCUGCUUCUAAAACUGUAUGACUUGAGUGCAGUAGAGGUUAGUGGAAUUCCUAGUGUAGCGGUGGAAUGCGUAGAUAUUAGGAGGAACACCAGAGGCGAAGGCGGCUAACUGGACUGCAACUGACGCUGAGGCACGAAAGUGUGGGGAGCAAACAGGAUUAGAUACCCUGGUAGUCCACACUGUAAACGAUGGAUACUAGAUGUAGGAGGUAUCGACUCCUUCUGCGUCGCAG
rnacentral:rRNA from 1 species